rnacentral:rRNA from 1 species
GGGGGGGCAAGCGUUGUUCGGAAUUACUGGGCGUAAAGGGCUCGUAGGCGGCCAACUAAGUCCGACGUGAAAUCCCAAAGCUUAACUUUGGAACUGCGUCGGAUACUGGAUGGCUUGAAUUCGGGAGAGGGAUGCAGAAUUCCAGGUGUAGCGGUGAAAUGCGUAGAUAUCUGGAGGAAUACCGGUGGCGAAGGCGGCAUCCUGGACCGACAUUGACGCUGAGGAGCGAAAGCUAGGGGAGCAAACGGGAUUAGAUACCCCGGUAGUCCUAGCCCUAAACGAUGAAUGCUUGGUGUGGCGGGUAUCGAUCCCUGCCGUGCCGAAGCUAACGCAUUAAGCAUUCCGCCUGGGGGGUACGGUCGCAAGGCUG